NGUUCUGUAGCUUAGUUGGUUAAAGCGCCGGUCUAGCGUACACGGAGUCUGUGAGUUCGAGUCUCACUAGAACGC
rnacentral:tRNA from 1 species